AUUUGAUUUUAUCCUUUCUGUUUGGUUUUUUUUUUCAAAAAUUAAUAAUAUAUGUUCUGAAUGAUUUAUGGUUUGUUUUUCUCAUGGUGAACCCUCCAUCUUUUGUGACAAUCGAACUCGGAGUGUUCGUCAACCAAAACAAUCGAAACACAAGGAGAAGCCACAGACUACCGAAAGUCAUGUUGAAGAAGGAGUUGCUGGGGAUAGUGUUGGUCACUUUCAACUUCCAAAUUUUGAGUCUUUUUUAAUGAUAUUGACGACUACAAGUUUGAUCGAC